rnacentral:rRNA from 1 species
UACGAAGGGGGCUAGCGUUGUUCGGAUUUACUGGGCGUAAAGCGCACGUAGGCGGAUUGUUAAGUCAGGGGUGAAAUCCUGGAGCUCAACUCCAGAACUGCCUUUGAUACUGGCAAUCUUGAGUCCGGAAGAGGUGAGUGGAACUCCUAGUGUAGAGGUGGAAUUCGUAGAUAUUAGGAAGAACACCAGUGGCGAAGGCGGCUCACUGGUCCGGUACUGACGCUGAGGUGCGAAAAGCGUGGGGAGCAAACAGGG